UGCGGGGUGGUGUAAUGGUAGCACGUCUCCCUUUGGAGGAGAAGACUCUAGGUCCGAAUCCUAGCCCCGCAG
rnacentral:tRNA from 1 species